ensembl:lncRNA
AAAUUGAAUUUUAUUAACACACACAACAAUAGCAUUAGGUAAACAGAGAUAGGUGGAUAGACAGACUGUCUCAGUUUCUUUUUAAUAAUUGAGUUUUUUUUUAAAAUCAAAGCUUUACACAUAAUUUAAAAACUCAAAGGUAACAAAACCUGAUAUGAAAAACUCCCACACCACCAUGAUGAAGCAGCUAUUCUGCAGGUGUUUUGCCCUCAUUCUGUGUGUCCACUUUCAAUUCCAAAUGGGCUUAUAUGACCAAAGAGAUGCAGGACCUAACCAACAUGUACCAACAGGAACCAUGAGCACGGGUAUGGAACUGGGUCCUGAGGGUGCUGGGUAAGAAUUAAGUUUGUGUUUAUAUAGGACAGCAGUACCCAUUUAUAGUAUUGCCCUAGGGUUAUGUUAACUAUUCCACACUGCAUCAUAAUCCAAAGAGAUCUAGACCAUCUGAACAUCCCACAUAAUGUCACAAUGACCUACCACAUUGAUGACAUCAUGCUAGCUGGGUGAGGUAAAUAAUAAGCAGCUAGCAUACUGUACACUGGAGGAUGGGAAAUAAUCCUUAAGACCCAGCAAGCUGUUACAUCAGUGAAAUUUUUAGGGCCCAAUAGGCUGCUUGAAUGCCAAGAUAUACCCUUCACAGUAAAGGACAAAUUACUGCUUCUCACCCACUCAUUUCACCAAAAUUAUUCUGCCACCAAGGAAGCAUACCAAGUUGUGUAGGCCUCUGUGGGAAUUCAGAAGUUGGCAAUACUGUUCUGACUUGUAAACUGGGUGAGAUAGAAGUCUGCCAGUUUUCAGUGGGAUCCAUAGCACGUAAAAGUUCUCUAGCAGGUAUGGUGUAUUUAGCCCUGUUGCAUGGACCAAUUCAGGAUAUUCUAUGGGACGAGUAAAUGAGAUAAGAAACCAUGAAAGUUGAUGGCAAGCUCCAAUGGGAGAAUCACAAGGUCAACUCUUGGCAUUCUGUGGCAAGGCUGGGCCAUCUGCAGUGCAAACCCCCAAAAACAACUUAUCCAUACUAAUGUGCCUUGGUAAGAACUGAUUAUGGACAUCAAGUGACGAUGUAGCCAGAGAUGCCCAUCAUGAGCUGGGCACAGGCAGGUGGUCAGGCUCCCAUGUCAUAUCUGAUUCUUUACCGAUGUCCCUUCCUCAGCUCACAAUUAUGGCCAUUUGGGAGGCUCUCAUGUCUAGCUUAUGGAGGACAAAAAAGCCUGAGCUGAAUUCACUGCGUUUUCUUGGAAUACAGGUUCAAAACUAAAAUGGACUGCUACUGCCCUACAGGCCCACACAGGACAGGCCUUAAAAGACAGCAGUGAGGAGAACCCUUCCAAACGACAUAAUGUGGGGCAGUAUUCCUGGUCAUCAACUUUGUGUGGAAAGAAACUGUCUUGAAGUAAAACGUAUUUUCAUGACAAAUGGCAAAUAAGUUGGCCAGAUGAUCAGGGGUCUGGAAUAAGACUGGCAUAUCAAGGACAAGAAGUCUGGAGAAGCAGUGGAGAAAUAUAUGACAUAUGGCACAUAAGGAGGGGUUUGGUAUUGUAUAACAGAAUCUUUACCUGCCAGAGACAAUCCAACAUGUAAGCAGCAUUAAAUAACCAAGUAGACAGAUUUAGCCAGUUAACUUCAGCAGCUACAGCCAUCAGCUCCACCGUCUCCUCCCUCUGCCCCCAGGAAUGGCAUAGGGGGCUCAUGACAAAGUAGUCAUCUUGCAGGAAUGCAAGUGAGCAAGAGGCCAAUAGACAGCCUCCACUUAUCCAAUAGCUACUCCCCAGGCCGGGUGCGGUGGCUCACGCCUGUAAUCCCAGCACUUUGGGAGGCCAAGGUGGGUGGAUCACCUGAGGUCUGGAGUUCAAGACCAGCCUGCCCAACAUGGAGAAACCUGUCCCUACUAAAAAUACAAAAUUAGCUGGCCGUGGUGGCGCAUGCCUGUAAUCCCAGCUACUCGCGAGGCUGAGGCAGGAGAAUCCCUUGAACCCAGGAGGCAGAGGUUGCGGUGAGCCAAGAUGGCGCCACUGCACUCCAGCCUGGGCAAUGAGUGAAACUCCGUCUCAAAAAACAACAAAAAAACCAGCCACUCCCCAAUGUUAAACACCAAGUUCCCGAUACAGCCCCAACCUUCAAGGAUACCCAACAGCUACUUGGGCAGCAAGCUGACUUAUGUUGGAUUCCUUCCAUCCUAGAAUGGGCAGUGAUUCUCCUUGACUAGAAACUGCCCAUCUGCAUUUAUGAGUUUUGACUUCCUUGCCUAUAAGUUGUUGGCCAGCUCUACUAUUCAAAGGUUUACAGGUAUUUGAUCCAUCAACAUGUAUCCUGUGUAAUAUUGCCUUUGAUUUAGGGACCCACUUUACAGCAAAGGAGGUGUGUCAGCAGGUACAUAACCAUGGGAUCCACUGGUCCUAUCACAUACUAUACAACCUAAAAAGUGCUGGCCUGAUGGAAAACCCUUUUGAAAGUGAAAAUGAAGCAAAAGCUUGAAGAUAAUAGCCUGUGAAAUGGAAUGACCCUGUCCACCAGGGUACAGCAUAUACUCUAAAUCAAUACUCAUUGUAUGGUGCUGUGCCUCAUAUAUACAUAGCAUGCAUGUUUGGGGAUGGAAGGAUAUAAAUAGAAUUCCCACUGUGUAGUAGGCUGAAUAAUGGCCCCCAAAUGUGUUCAGAUCCUAAUACCUGGAUUCUACAAAUAUUUUACCUUCAUGAUAAAAGAAACUUUGUGGAUAUGACUAAGUUAAUGACCUCAAGAUACAGAGAUUAUCCUUGACUAUCCAAUGGGCCCAAUAUAAUCAUAAAGAUUCUUACAAGGGAGAGGCAGGUUUGCUUAGUAGAUGCAAUGACUUAAGCAGGAGGAUGGGGUGAUAUGAGUAAUGGGCCAUAGCCAAGAAAUGUACGUAGCCUCUAGAAAUUGAAAAAGGCAAGGAAACAGACUUUUUCUUGAAGCCUUCAGGAAAA